rnacentral:rRNA from 1 species
UACGAAGGGGGCUAGCGUUGCUCGGAAUUACUGGGCGUAAAGCGCACGUAGGCGGCUUUCUAAGUCGGGGGUGAAAUCCUGGAGCUCAACUCCAGAACUGCCUUCGAUACUGGAGAGCUUGAGUCCGGGAGAGGUGAGUGGAACUGCGAGUGUAGAGGUGAAAUUCGUAGAUAUUCGCAAGAACACCAGUGGCGAAGGCGGCUCACUGGCCCGGUACUGACGCUGAGGUGCGAAAAGCGUGGGGAGCAA